rnacentral:tRNA from 10 species
GGGGCUGUAGCGCAGCUGGUAGCGCACCUCCAUGGCAUGGAGGGGGUCAGGGGUUCGAGUCCCCUCAGCUCCA